ACACACACACACACACACACACACAACAAACAAAAACAAAAACAAACAGUGUACGUGUGUGUGUGUGUGUGUGUGUGUGU